rnacentral:rRNA from 1 species
AACGAACGCUGGCGGCGUGGAUAAGACAUGCAAGUCGAACGAGAGAAUUGCUAGCUUGCUAAAUAAUUCUCUAGUGGCGCACGGGUGAGUAACACGUGAGUAACCUGCCCCCGAGAGCGGGAUAGCCCUGGGAAACUGGGAUUAAUACCGCAUAGUAUCGAAAGAUUAAAGCAGCAAUGCGCUUGGGGAUGGGCUCGCGGCCUAUUAGUUAGAUGGUGAGGUAACGGCCCACCAUGGCGACGAUCGGUAGCCGGACUGAGAGGUUGACCGGCCACAUUGGGACUGAGACACGGCCCAGACACCUACGGGUGGCAGCAGUCGAGAAUCAUUCACAAUGGGGGAAACCCUGAUGGUGCGACGCCGCGUGGGGGAAAUGAAGGUCUUCGGAUUGUAAAACCCCUGUCAUGUGGGAAGCAAAUUAAAAAGAUAGUACCACAAGAGGAAGAGACGGCUAACUCUGUGGCAGCCGCCGCCGUAAAC